rnacentral:misc_RNA from 1 species
CACCCUUAUCAUUGGACUCAGGGCCCUUCUUUAAACCUGUAAUUUGCACAAGCAUAUGAGAGUUUUUCUGAAGGUAGUCAUUUGGGUCAGACUUGACUCUUACAAAGCUUCCUACAAUUUUUCCUUCCAAUGUUUCUGGUUCCUUGAGAAGAUCCUGAACUAAACUCCUUUUCAAAUGGACAAGUUUAAUAUUAUCAGGAAUUAUGGCCGCAAAACAGCUUUUUGGAGCUUCCAAAACCUUCUUUUUAAUAUAUGUUUUUCUUUCUGAAGUUAAAUUCUUCUGUUGCUGACAGGCAGAAUCCUCUUCUUCUGAACUAUAAAGAAAAUCAUCAUCUGAAUCGGCUUGGUUUUCAGCAAAGUGCGUUCCCAGCAUUUCAUAGAUUUUGUUUCGGGCAAUGGUUUUCCUUCCAAAAAGAGAAAGGAGCCACUCAUCACAAAGAAUCCUCUUCUUUUUUGCUGGGUGAUGAAGGUUAUGAUCAUUUACAUAUUUAUUUAUAAUGGCAGUAACAUCAUAUUGAGAAAUCUGUUUACUGGUAUCUUUACCAAUUGAUUCAAGAAACUCAAUAAGUGGCCUUGAUCCCCACCCAACAAACUCCAGUUUCCUUGUUCUAGCUUUUCUUUUCAUACCUAC